CAAAAAAAGAGAGGGUUGAGCGCUCAGCAGAGAAAAAUGACUCAGCAAAAAUGAUUCUAAGGGAUCCUUUCGACCCUUGCCUUGCCCUCCUGACUCUAAAGAUGUCUGGACAUAAACAGGAAGGGGAACUGUGCCUGAUCCUUCUCCACAUCACGCCCUUUCCUACCAGUCAGUCCCCUGAGUUCCCUGUUCACAGGCUCCUCACUGGUGAUUACCGGAAGUCUGCUGAGGCAGAGUCCCCUCUCCAGGCCAAGACCGGAAGCUCAGGGCACCUAAAGACAACCAGAGAUAAAAACUCCUGUAAUUGGAAGCCAGGUAUACCAGGGAGAAUCCUAUGAAGUUCCGGAGAGGAUAAGAGCUCCCAAGCAGAAGAAACUGAGGAAAAAGUGGAUCAAGGGACUUGUUCUCCAGUUCAUCCGGACUGCAUCCCUUAAAAGAUGGAAGUUCACACUGCAAAGCAUGGAGACGUGUGUCAUGGCCUUUAUGACGGGUGAGGAAAGAUGCCACGCCUUUUAAAUUCUGACACUACCUACCUGGACUUAGGGACGGAGCCCACAAGCUAAAUGGCUCAGGUCUACCGGACUGUCCCCACUAUGCACACCAGCCACAAACGAGAUGCCCAGGCUAUCCACAUUUCUUUCCAGCUGACUAUAAAUUUUGCAGUUCCCAGGACCUCACUUUAGGUUUGGUAAGUUGCUAGAAUGACUCACAGAGAUUAGGAAAACACUUUUUUUUUUUACGUUCACUGGUGUAUUAUGAAGAACACAACCAAGGAAUAAACAAAUGGAAAAGAUGCAUAGGGCAAGGUACAGGAGUAGGGAAAGCUUCCACACCCUCCCAGCAUAUGUGUAAGUUCACCAACUUGAAGCUAUCUUAGUCAUGUUUCUCAUUGCUGAGACAAACUACCCAACACCUAAAGUUAAAGGAAGAAAGAUUUCAGCUCUGUAGAAGUUUCAAUGCACAGUGUGUAGAAGUCUGUAGAAGUUUCAAUACACAGACAGAUGGUUCAAAGCAAGGCAGCAUGGUUAAAGGGCAUCACAGAGGAGAAACAGUUCAUGGUGUGGCAGGCAGAAGACAGCAGCAAGCAGCAGCAGC